CUCGUAUGGCGUGUGGUCAACUUCGACGCUUCCUGCCCUGUGUGCGGGAACGCCGGGAACGGCCGGAGCCGAGUGCUGCCGAGCGUGACAGGGCGAACGAGGAAAACUGGCUCGGCUUGGACUAGCGACGCGGCACGUGGAAGGAUGAGACCGGCGUUCCUGCGUUUAUGUUAAGCUGGUGCUAUCGAGAGCUCAGGUGCUGCGCGGGACGUUCGGCGGACGGGGUGCGAUGGCUCGGCCAUGAGGGCGCGAAAGUUCUU